UCAGGUGAGCCUAGCGUCGAACGCAAGCUCAUGUACAUCAGUCCCGACAAAACGUGCGCGAUCCUUGUCGAAGCCCUGAAGAAAGGACGCAAGGGUUGCCAACUCGUGCAGCCAGAGUCCGCGAUCGACAACGGGAUACCGCAGGAGUGCAACAAGAUCUACGAGGCCAGCUGCGGCAAAAAGAGCCUCACCGUCUACGAACCCGCCUGCAAGACGCUGCCUGACAGCGUGCCCCACGAGGAACUUUAAAACAAUUUUUUUUCUCGCGAUGGCACUCGUGAGCUGGAAGACCGUCACGCACGCCAUCUGUCGGAACAUUCGUCCCAACCUGUCAAGUGUUGUGCGCGGAAGGUGCCUUUUUCAAGAGCGUCUCCCGACACUUACCGACGCUUGUCACGGGCUCGACACAUCUUUAAAAGAGACACUAAAGAAUGCUACGCUGUGUUACUGAAUCACAGUUCUAAAACAUCAAAACAGAUGCACUCUUACCGCGGGGCCUAUAUCGAAACUAUAGAAGCCACAGCGCCUAGCAACCGCGGUUGAACGCGAUUGGAUGAAACGCCGCCGACGACGCUCGACGCAGCGAUGCCCUUAGCCACCGCUGUGAGAGUAUGUCACGCCGCCUAACGCCUAGGAACGUAAUCCGUCGCGGGGUUUGCGUCGCGAAGCACCAAGGGAACAAUGGUGGCGCGUUGCUACGGUGCGAAAUCAGAGCGUCGCCGGCGGCGUUUCAGCUAAUCGCGUUCAGCCGUUGUUGCUAAGGCGCUAUGCCUUCUAGAUUUUCAAUAUACGCAACCGGGGGAUCUCCAGGAUUCAUUACAGAGCCUCUCUCUCUCUCUCUCCUUACCAUUAGAGGAGACUUAUUGGUAAGACAGAAAAAAACACCAACAAAAUACCGGUGGUGACUCAACCCUGAAGUUGCCAGACCAGCUUGUCAUGACGUCAUGGAUUUCUACAGCGUCUACGUUGGUCCAUAGUCAAACCGUUUAUCGUUCAGGAAGGACUACGUGUCACUAUAUUUAUAAGGACGAAACAAUAAUAACUAGCAAGUUUUGAUAACUGUAAUAACUAGCAAGUUUCGAUAACUUUUGCUUUGCGAAAACGUCCCUGAGUACGAAUAAAUGGCCUUGAAACCGGUGACGUCCCACUGAAGUAGCAGUGCUGGCCGUUUUUGGCGCGAAAUUAAAAAGAAACACAAAAGCACGGCCAUCACUUUUCAACGAUAAGAAUCAUCUUCUUGACAAAUCAUGCUCUUUAUUUGUCUCCUUGAGCUGUGAUUUAAAUUUCUUACUCGAUAAUUCUGUUUUCGAGUCAGUUCUUCUGAUUCUACCUAUCAUACCUUCUACCAUAAGAUCUCUUGGUUACGGCGAUGCCUUGAAGCAUUUCCUUGCACAACCGCAGGUCGUUUGCGAGUAAACGUGACGCUCGUCGAUUCCUUUAUUAUUACAUUUAUUAUACCUCGCUCACGUA